rnacentral:rRNA from 1 species
AAAAAGUAAGUCUCAGUUCGGUAUUGAAGGCUGAAAUUCGCCUUCAUGAAGCCGGAAUUGCAGUAAUGGCAGGUCAGCAUACUGCCGUGAAUACGUUCCCGGGCCUUGUACACACCGCCCGUCACACCAUGAGAGUUGGGAAUACCCGAAGCCUGUGAGCCAACAGUUAAAUGGGGCAGCAGUCGAAGGUAGAAUCAAUGAUUGGGGUGAAGUCGUAACAAGGUACC